GACGAACGCUGGCGGCGUGCUUAACACAUGCAAGUCGAACGGAAAGGCCCUGCUUUUGUGGGGUGCUCGAGUGGCGAACGGGUGAGUAACACGUGAGUAACCUGCCCUUGACUUUGGGAUAACUUCAGGAAGCUGGGGCUAAUACCGGAUAGGAGCUCCUGCUGCAUGGUGGGGGUUGGAAAGUUUCGGCGGUUGGGGAUGGACUCGCGGCUUAUCAGCUUGUUGGUGGGGUAGUGGCUUACCAAGGCUUUGACGGGUAGCCGGCCUGAGAGGGUGACAGGCCACAUUGGGACUGAGAUACGGCCCAGACUCCUACGGGAGGCAGCAGUGGGGAAUAUUGCACAAUGGGCGGAAGCCUGAUGCAGCAACGCCGCGUGCGGGAUGACGGCCUUCGGGUUGUAAACCGCUUUCGCCUGUGACGAAGCGUGAGUGACGGUAAUGGGUAAAGAAGCACCGGCUAACUACGUG
rnacentral:rRNA from 1 species